GGUAGGAGAACACUUCAAUGUCUCUGGCCACUCAGUGAAAGAUUUAAGGGUGGCAAUUUUGCAACAGGUUUCAGAGUAACAGCCGUGUUGGUCUGUAUUCGCAGGAAGAGGGGGAGUACUUGUGGCACCUUGGAGACUGGCCAAUUUGUUUGAGCGUGGGCUUUCGUGGGCUACAGCUCACUUCUGAGCUGUAGCUCACGAAAGCUUGUGCUCGGAUGGAUUGGUUGGUCUCUAGGGUGCCACAAGUCCUCCUGUUCUUUUUGCGGAUACAGACUAACCCGGCUGCUCCUCUGAAACCAGACAAAUCAAGUUACCUUGAUACUAAAAUGUGGCUCAGGGCAGCAUAUUUUAACUGUGCUCUUAAAACCCCCCAAACAUUGUAAGCUCAGUUCGUUGAGCUAUUUCCUGGAAUCUGUUGGCUUGCUGAAACACAAUUUGCUGAGGGGAAAAAUAAAUCCGCAGUCGCAGUUGCAUCUGAUUUGCUAAAAGGGGUGAUAUGGAUUUGAUGUAUAUACUGUACAGAAUGGUGGAAAAUAAAUAUAUCUUAAUUUGUCAUUAUUUUGCUAACCAAAGCUGUAAAUUUUUCCUAUGACUUGCUAUCUGCCUUUUGGGUUUGAAAGGGUUAAAAUAUAUCACACAGCCACAAUCUACAGCCGCAGUUCAGGAAAUGCACUGUUUCUACUGGUAUUCAUGCUUUUUCAUUUUAUUGCUGAGAUUACAUGAAUUGUUGAGUUUAUUUUUACACAAUAAAGAGUGAAGAAAGACACUGGGCUCUCUUUCAAAUGUUCUGUGGACUUUCCUGACUAGCCACUGGCCAGGUUUCUUACUGGGGUGACGGGCAGGGCUGGCUUGUUAUUUUAGAGGAAUUUCUGUCCAGGGCUCCUUGAAGCCUAAGCUAACCUGAGAUUUAAACUCCCUCCCUGCUGCCAGGCCUGUCCACUAAGAUCAAAUAGUACAGGCCACAUCUGACCUUUUCUUAUACCUUAGCUUUCACAAGUGGUUCAACACUUAGAGCAUUGCAUCAGUGAGCCCCAGGAAACAAGUCACCUGAGUGUGGGGAAAAGGGACUGGAGAGAACAGUGGGGUGGGCUAGACCACAUAAAAGUCAUUCAGAAACUUUUGUUAGAAUUGAAUCUGAAGAAGCCCAGUCACAAAAAAAAAACCCACCCUCCUAUAAGAUACAGAGCAUUCACAGUAAAAGUCCCGUUGCAUCUUAUACCAUUAGUUCAUGAUGCUACAUGUAUGUUUUGUACAGCGAAAUGUAUAAAUGGUAUGUUCCUAUAUUAAAUGCCUGUAACACUG